rnacentral:rRNA from 1 species
GACGAACGCUGGCGGCGUGCUUAACACAUGCAAGUCGAACGGAAAGGCCCUGCUUUUGUGGGGUGCUCGAGUGGCGAACGGGUGAGUAACACGUGAGUAACCUGCCCUUGACUUUGGGAUAACUUCAGGAAACUGGGGCUACUACCGGAUAGGAGCUCCUGCUGCAUGGUGGGGGUUGGAAAGUUUCGGCGGUUGGGGAUGGACUCGCGGCUUAUCAGCUUGUUGGUGGGGUAGUGGCUUACCAAGGCUUUGACGGGUAGCCGGCCUGAGAGGGUGACCGGCCACAUUGGGACUGAGAGACGGCCCAGACUCCUACGGGAGGCAGCAGGGGGGAAUAUUGCACAAUGGGCGGAAGCCUGAUGCAGCAACGCCGCGUGCGGGAUGACGGCCUUCGGGUUGUAAACCGCUUUCGCCUGUGACGAAGCGUGAGUGACGGUAAUGGGUAAAGAAGCACCGGCUAACUACGUG